rnacentral:rRNA from 1 species
GACCUGCACAGGUGCUGCAUGGCUGUCGUCAGCUCGUGUCGUGAGAUGUUCGGGUUAAGUCCCGCAACGAGCGCAACCCUUAUCCCUAGUUGCCAUCAGGUAAAGCUGGGAACUCUGGGGAGACUGCCGGUGAUAAACCGGAGGAAGGCGGGGAUGACGUCAAGUCCUCAUGGCCCUUACAUCCCGGGCUACACACGUGCUACAAUGGCAGGUACAGAGGGCUGCGAAGCCGCGAGGUGGAGCGAAUCCCAGAAAACCUGUCUCAGUCCGGAUUGAAGUCUGCAACUCGACUUCAUGAAGGCGGAAUCGCUAGUAACCGCGAAUCAGCAGGUCGCGGUGAAUACGUUCCCGGGCCUU